rnacentral:rRNA from 1 species
UACGGGGGGGGCAAGCGUUGUUCGGAAUUACUGGGCGUAAAGGGCUCGUAGGCGGCCAACUAAGUCAGACGUGAAAUCCCUAGGCUCAACCUAGGAACUUCGUCUGAUACUGGAUGGCUUGAAUCCGGGAGAGGGAUGCAGAAUUCCAGGUGUAGCGGUGAAAUGCGUAGAUAUCUGGAGGAAUACCGGUGGCGAAGGCGGCAGCCGGGACCGGCAGUGACGCUGAGGAGCGAAAGCCAGGGGAGCAAACGGG